CCUACGGGUGGCAGCAGUGAGGAAUAUUGGUCAAUGGGCGGGAGCCUGAACCAGCCACGUCGCGUGAGGGAAGAAGGUACUUAGUAUUGUAAACUUCUUUUGUCGGGGCACAAAGGCGGAGACGCGUCUCCGGAUGAGUGUACACGAAGCAAAAGCAUGGCGUAACUCCGGGCCAGCAGCCGGGGUAAUACGGAGUACGCGAGUGUUAUCCGGAUUUAUUGGGGUAAACGGGUGUGCAGGCGGGAGGUCAAGUCAGAGGUAAAGUGUCGGGGUGCAACCCCGGCCGGCCGUUGAAACUGGUUUUCUAGAGUGGGAGAGAAGUAUGCGGAAUUCGUGGUGUAGCGGUGAAAUGCAUAGAUAGCACGAAGAACUCCGAUUGCGAAGGCAGCAUACCGGCUCCAUACUGACGCUGAGGCACGAAAGCGUGGGGAGCGAACAGGAUUAGAUACCCCGGUAGUC
rnacentral:rRNA from 1 species